CGAUCUGCUAGGCCCAUACGUCUUAAAUCAUCUUCAACCCCCCGUUUACUCUCUACACCCCUGCAAAGUGCACACUACAGAAAUGGCGAUGGUUUCGUCACUGCUAUGGAUUCCCAACUACAGGGGCUUUGUUGUUGUCCCUGUCACCAUACUACGAACACUAUCUGCGGCCACCAGCCACCGCCACUACAACCGCCACAAAAACAAGAGGUUUGGCUGUUCAAACUGGGAUUCCGACUUGAAUUUUUACCAGAAAAACUGUAGCAGAACCUUUGCAUCUGAUUCUGUGGCUUCUAUAGCUAUCACGUCGAAUCUAUCUACCCCCAAUUCCAAAUGCCAUGUUGAAUAUGAUCGCUUGCUUCCAUGCCCAACUGAGAAUUUUCUACCAAGAAUUGAGCAUUUAGUUGUUAAAGAAGGAGGACCUGUUCUUGACUUCAUUACCAAAGCUCUGGAUCUUCCACCUUUGUAUGUUGCAGAUCUGAUACAUUUUGGAGCAGUGUUCUACGCGCUUGUAUGCCCAAAGCCUCCUUCAACUGCUACACCUGAGGAAAUCAAGUUGUUCAAACAAGUUACAGACCCUUUGGUCCUCAAAAAGAGACAUUCAAUCAAAGGAAAAACCCUAAGAGAGGCACAAAAAACUUUUAGAAUUACUCAUAUUGAUGAAUUUGUUGAAGCAGGGACAUACUUGAGGGUGCAUGUUCGUCCAAAACGAUUUCCGAGAUGCUAUGAAAUUGACUGGAAGUCAAGAAUAAUUGCUGUGACAGAAUCGUAUGUGGUUCUUAACAAGCCAGCUGGCACAUCAGUGGGUGGAACUACAGACAACAUUGAAGAAACAUGUGCAAAAUUUUCUACUCGUGCCUUGAAAUUAACUACUCCAUUAAUGACAACUCAUCAGAUUGAUAAUUGCACAGAAGGCUGUGUUGUGCUAGCUAGAACCAAGGACUACUGCUCAGUUUUUCAUAGAAAGAUCAGGGAGAAAAAAGUGAAGAAGCUUUAUCUUGCACUUGCUGCUGCUUACGUGCCACCUGGACUCAUGACUCAUUACAUGCGACCAUUUCGUAUGGCUCCAAAAAUUGUUUCCCAAGAGUUGAUUGAGGGAUGGAAUUUGUGCCAACUAGAGGUCCUAGAAUGCAGGAAAGUUCCAUGGCCAAAUGCUUGGAUUGAAGAAGAGAAUGGAAUUCAGGAUUUGAAUUGGCCGAAUAAAGAGUUUGCAUAUGAAUGCAAAAUCAACCUUUUGACUGGUCGUACUCACCAGAUUCGAGCUCAGUUGGCAGCUUGUGGUGCACCUCUAGUGGGGGACUCGAUGUACAUGCCAGCUGUAAUUUCAGAGCUAGCUAAUCCCGGGUUAAACCCUGUUGGGAAUGGGAAGUACAAAAAGGAAUUUGAAAGUGAGGCGGAUAGAGAAUCCGCCAUUGAAGAAUGGGCUACAAAACACGGGAAGGAACCUGGUGUGAGUAUUGGCCUUCAAGCUUCUCAAAUUUCAUGGGAUGAAGAUGAAGGACAACAACACUUGUAUCUGGCAGGACCUCCAUGGUGGACUCAAUAGCAAAUUCUAACUACUGAUCGAAUGUCGGUCAUAUACUUUUGGAGUGAGGCUACUCAGUAUAGGCUCCUCUAUGUUGUUUGGGAGGCUAAGAUGGCUAACUAGAACGACGUGCCCAUGCCUGGAACACCGCCACACCUAAAUGUGUCGGGCUCAACGCAAGGAAACGUAGGUGGAAGAAGAAGAAAACAGUUUGAUUUAAUUUUUUUUACCUAUAAAAACAUUUUAGCCCACUGAUUUUCUUACAUCAUUCUUUUCUUUCUUUCUAUUUUACUUAACUUCACAACUCCAAAAUAAAAAAAAUGGAUCAACACCCAAACACCCUCCACCAAACCUACACCCACACCCGGACGCAACCUCUACCAUGUGAUUCACUUAAUAUGAGGGCUUUUUAACCUACUAAACACCCAAGGUUUGCCGCAAAUACCAUAGUAACAAACUUAUUUCAACCCUACCUAACAUCCGAUUCAAUUUCCUUCACCACCACUUCCAACAAAACGUUUAUGGGAAACAACCAAAUUUUCUACAAAACCGUUACAUCAUCUUCCAUACCAAAUUUCCAAACACAAACAACUCGUUAACCAACUUCCAUCUAACAACAACUACCUACACAACGAUAGAUAGAAUUUGUGUCACAACUAGUACUUUUGGUUAGGAAAUUCUGUCCUCAUGUGAGCCCCAAUCAAUUUGAGGCUUGAACUCAAACGUUAAGAUUUGCAUUGUGAUUCCUAAGGAGCCAUGUAUGGUCAUAUUGCAAGGAAUAUCUUCCUCUAUGGCAAAUCUCUCCAAGUAUGUGAAACCUCUCCCAAAUCUCUCCAAGUAUGUGAAUUCUCUCCUAAAUCUCUCUAAGUACGAGAAAUCUCUCUAAAUAUGUGAAAUCUCUCCCAAAUCUCUCCAAGUAUGUGAAAUCUCUCCCAAAUCUCUCCAAGUAUGAGAAAUCUCUCCAAGUAUGUGAAAUCUCUCCCAAAUCUCUCCAAGUAUGAGAAAUCUCUCCAAAUAUGUGAAAUCUCUCCCAAAUCUCUCCAAGUAUGAGAAAUCUCUCCAAGUAUGUGAAAUCUCUCCCAAAUCUCUCCAAGUAUGUGAAACUUCUCCCAAAAUCUCUCCAAGUAUGUGAAAUCUCUCCCAAAUCUCUCUACAUACCUUCCUCAAUCGAAAACAACUCAAAACCGGAGUAGAAAACCCAAAAGGACCCUCUUGGUCCGAAUACCUUCUAAAGAACUAAGAAGGUUCUGACUUCGGAUUUCAGCAUGCUUCGGAACCUCCCUCACUCCGGACCGGACCGGACCACUGAUUCGCCUGUUGACUCUGGAUCAGAAGGAGCGCUUCGGAACUCGCCUUGCUGACUCCGGAAGUUGAUAGAUGGCUUCGGAAAUGCACUCCUUUGCUCCGGAUCUUGAAGAAUGACUCCGGAAUCCUUCCUAAUGACUUCAGACCCUUGCAGGAGCAUCAUCCCACUCGGAUUUUCAUCAUUUUCGGACUUUUUCACCAUUUUAAGGCAUUUUGAUGCCGGAAAUCACACCAAACUCGUAUUUUUCAUAUCUUAAACCCCUUAAACCCCUAUUUUAAGCCAAAAUUAAUUAUUUUAAAUAUAUUUAUAUAAAAAAUAUCCAAGAUUUUUAAAGGGUUUCUAAGAAGAUAAGGAGUUUGACCUUAUGAUUUGAUGCAAAUUCCUCAUUUCCCAUGCAAAUCUCAGUAAAACACGUGUUAUCCAAAGAAACUAAGCUUUACCCACCAGCCCUCCAAGCAAAUAUCAAGUCACUCCUUAUCCCUCCAUCUAGAAUACGUGGACUCUUUCUUCCUCCUUAUUCCACUUCUCACUUUCACCUCUAGCAAACUCAUAAGAAUACUCUUCACUCCUUCAAACUCCAAGUUCAUCUCUUCAAGGAAAUUUCCAGAUUUCUUCUAAUCAUUCUAAGGAUUAAAGAGCCUUUCAAGUGCUGAAACUUGGAAACUCCUCAUCAUCUCCUCUCCAAACAUCUCCUCAACCAACUCAAGGGAUCUAAUAAGCAAGUAACAAGGGAUGCGGAUGCUGAACUAUUUAGCUGUAGUUUGGAGUUUUUCUGCUUAUGUCUCUUUUGUGUAACUCGAAGAAUAGAUACAAUAUGUAAACAAUGUAAGUUUGUUAUCUCAAUGUAUGAUGUUUGGAUUGCUCUGUUUCAUUUA